AUUGAACGCUGGCGGCAUGCUUUACACAUGCAAGUCGAACGGCAGCGCGGGCUUCGGCCUGGCGGCGAGUGGCGAACGGGUGAGUAAUGCAUCGGAACGUGCCCAGUAGUGGGGGAUAGCCCGGCGAAAGCCGGAUUAAUACCGCAUACGACCUGAGGGUGAAAGCGGGGGACCGAAAGGCCUCGCGCUAUUGGAGCGGCCGAUGUCGGAUUAGCUAGUUGGUGGGGUAAAGGCUUACCAAGGCGACGAUCCGUAGCUGGUCUGAGAGGACGACCAGCCACACUGGGACUGAGACACGGCCCAGACUCCUACGGGAGGCAGCAGUGGCGAAUUUUGGACAAUGGGGGCAACCCUGAUCCAGCCAUGCCGCGUGCGGGAAGAAGGCCUUCGGGUUGUAAACCGCUUUUGUUCGGGAAGAAAUCCUCUGGGCUAAUACCCCGGGGGGAUGACGGUACCGGAAGAAUAAGCACCGGCUAACUACGUG
rnacentral:rRNA from 1 species